rnacentral:lncRNA from 1 species
CAUCUGCUACAUCAAAACGGAUAUCAAAAUAGUGUCUCAGGCUCUCAGCACAGAUUGACAAACUACAUGAUGACCAAUAUAGUUCAGAGACAGGUGCAUUCGACAACUAAAACGAAGCAAAAUAUUCAAGUCGUUCCCAUUACAGUACACGAAUUGACGAUUAAACCAGCAGGUGUAACAGUAGAACAAACAACCAAAAAUUUAGAGCUUGUCCUCAAACUCAGAGAGAGGGGUCAUCUGUUCCUUGAGACCCUUCCUCUUGCGGAUAUCCAGCACCAGCUGAGCAGCCUGGGAGCCAGCCUCCAAAGGAUCAGAGCCCAUCAUGUCCCAAUGGUCAAAGACACACUGGGGGAACGCCUGACCAGAGGUUGCAGCCCUCAGUUGGCUGGAGAACCCAAACGACUCGAUGACAGGGAGGUAAGCCUUGAUGUUGUAGAGCGGGGUACCCGGCCUCUGCAUCUCCUCAAACACAUGCCCUCUCUUCUGGUUCAGAACACCGUAGAUACCACCAAGUGCAUUUUCUGGGGCCUGAAUCUCCACCAGGUACACUGGCUCCAGCAGCCUUGGCUUGGCCGUGAGCUGAGAAGCAUAGAUGACCCUCCUGGCAGUUGGGAUGACCUGGCCACCACCCCUGUGGAUAGCAUCAGCAUGAAGAACGACAUCACAGACCUCAAAGCAAAUUCCGCGCAUGUUCUCCUCAGCCAGUGCACCCUCCUUUGAUGCCCACUGGAAACCAGCCACGACAGAAUCCUUGAUUUCAUUGAGAUACUGCACUCCCUUACACAUAUCAACAACCAUGUUUGGGCCAGUGGUCUCAGGUCCAAAACACCAAAUCUUCUUGGCGAGAUCCUUGUCCCACCCAAACUCCUGAGAGAGGAUCUGGGAGCGCACCUUAGGAUCAUCACGUGGGCCAAUGCGGCCAUCAUCGAUGGCCUCAGCGAGACCCUCCUCCAAGGGGCGUGCUUCCAUGUACAGACGGUUGUGCUUGUUGGGAGACUUGCUCAUGACAGUACGGCAGGACUUCUCAAGAACGGUUUCCCGGAAGGACACAACAGGAGGGGAAACAAUAAUUUCAGCACCACCCAUGAAGUCCUCCUGCAGAUCCUUCAGGCAAAUCUCAAGAUGAAGCUCACCAGCUCCAGCAAUGAUAUGCUCACCAGACUCUUCGAUUGUACAGAGAACCAUAGGAUCAGACUUCGCCAGACGCUUCAAACCUUCGACUAGCUUGGGAAGGUCAGAGGCAACCUUGCACUGAACAGCAACACGCACAACAGGGGAGACAGAGAACUUCAUUGCUCUGAUCGGGCAUGCAUCAACCUCCUUCUCAUUAGUGAGUGUAGCGUUCUUCGUGAUGAACUGGUCCAGACCAACCAUAGCAACAGUGUUGCCACAAGGAACAUCCUCAACUGACUCUUGUUUCUUUCCCAUCCAGAUAACGGUACGCUGGACACUCUUCACAUACAGAUCCUUCUUCUGCCCAGGGACAUAGUUGGGACCCAUGAUCCGAACCUUCAUACCAGUAGCAACCUUCCCUGAGAAGACACGACCGAAGGCAAAGAACCUGCCCUUGUCGGAUGCUGGAAUCAUCUUCGAAACAUACAGCAUAAGAGGGCCCUCCGGAUCACAGUUUCUGAUGGCAGUUGCAUAGACAUCAUCAAGGGGCCCCUCAUACAAGUUCUCCACACGAUACUUUUGAGCCUUUGCCGGGGAAGGAAGGUGGAAUAUCAUCAUCUCGAGCAGUGCAGUGCUUGCUGGUAGCCACGUUUGCAUAACACGCUUCAUCAAAGCUUUGCCAAUCAAUUCCUUCUCAUCAGACUUCAUGGUAACAUUGAGCUUUUGCAGCAUGGGCCACAAUUUCUCCUUCUGGUCGUUCAUGCAGGUGUUGAUGAUUUGCUUGAUUGGCUCAUAGCAGAACUGAACAAAUCCUCUCUUGCAGGUAGGGGAGCCUGUGUUCUUGGUUGUCCAUUUCUUGGUGGCAGGGUCAAAGAAGUUCUCACCCCAAAGCCUCUCCAUCAUCUUAGAUUCAUCAACUCCAAACUUAGAUGCAUACAUCUUGGCAAAGUUAGUGAGGGUAAAGGCCCAUCCGUGCAGACCAGCAGAAAAAGCAACAGUCCCCUUCUCUGGGUACACUUGGACGUCACCAAGGAGCUUAUCUUCGUAUGUUGCCAUGAUGACAUUGGCAUUCUCAAUGACACGGGAGAAGGUCUGGUAAGCUUCCUCGCCCUCAACCUGAAGCUCAAGGAAGCACCUGUCCAUCUUGUUCACGGUAAGAACUGGCCUAAUCCUCUCACCAAGGGCUUGGCGAAGCACAGUUUCAGUUUGCACACAGACACCUUCAAUACAGUCAACCACCACAAGAGCACCAUCGGUGAUGCGAAGAGCAGCUGUGACUUCCGAAGAAAAAUCAACGUGCCCAGGCGAGUCAAUAAGGUUGAUCAGGUAUUGGUUACCAUCUCUCUCACCCUUGUAAUUCUUCAGUGACUCGUCAGUCAUCUCAUAGUAAAGAGAGAUACCGGUAGAUUUGAUUGUAAUACCACGCUCUGCUUCAUCUGCACGAGUAUCAGUCAUGCGAACAUCACCAGCAACUUCCUGGGCAAUAAUCCCAGCAGCUGCCACAAGGGAAUCUGUAAGCGUAGACUUGCCUGCAAAGAAUUUAUAAUAGCAUAUAAGAACAGCAAGGAAAUUCAACAUGUGCAUCAUAUGGUAGUACAAUAUUAGGGACAGACAAGCAAAUCAAAAGUUAACAAACACAGUAGUAGAUUACAAUCUAGAGUAUAUAAUUAUGAACAGAUACUAUGUAAACCACCAUAUCUAAAAUAUACAAUGUAUUUCCUACAUGUGAUAAAUAUCUGAACAUAAGCAGUUAACUAUGCCUAAAAUAGAUAGUGCAGCGAGAAAAGAAACAUUAGCUGUAACAGAGCUUAAAUGUUGAAAACAUAAAAGUUAACAACUCAGUAGUAGUAUAUUACAAUCUAAUACAUACAGCCAGCAGAUAGUAUGUAUACCACAAUAUCCAGACAAAAGCAAUACAUUAACUGUAGAUGAAAAAAGCAAUUAGGGGAUAAAUGUCUGUGAUAUAGGCCUAUAGUAGAUAAUGCAGCAUGAAUAGAAGCAUUAGCACUCAGGCACAAUAGAGAGCUUAAAUAUUGAAACAAAAUUAAUCUUGACAUCAAAAUCAAAAAGGCUUGAAAACAUUAAGGAAUGCAUGUAUAUAUAUGCUAUCUAACAGAGCAGUGUUCUGAACAUACCAUGGUCCACAUGAGCAAUAACAGACAUGUUACGAAUGUUGUUCUUUUUGUCCAUGAUACCACGGAGCUCUUCAGCUGUGAACUUCACCAUCUUGACUUCUUAUAAAGGUCACGCUACGAAUACCAAUAUUUAUUCCUGCAGUUGAAAGUUCAGGUAUUACUAAGAAUACAAUAAUAAACAUGAGAAAAUAACUAUACUGAAAACUUUGACAUUGACAUCAGCAGCAAAGAAGUAAUAACCACUACAGUUGUCAGGAACAAAGAGAGGGAAAUUAUUAACCAUUUCAGAAAGUUAAUAAAAAUGUUUUAACAUGCAGUAUUUGUCAGGAUACAGUAUUCCAUUAAUAUACACCAUACUCAUACUUCACAGGAUUGUGAGCACAAAAGGCUAAGAAAAAAGUAAACUGAAAACUCAUACUUCACAGGAUUGUGAGCACAAAAGCCUCGUUAAUCUAAGAUCUACAGCACAACUUAUUUUCCUCAAAAAAAAGAGAGAGACCAUCGAAGUAACACACGAAACAAUCAAAUAAUAGCAAUUUGGGCUCGAGCCGCUUGCAUAGCAUAUGCACGGAUAUGGACACAGUAUCAGGAGGAUACGGAUAUAGAGAUACGAUAUUUUUUCUUUCAGAAAACAUGAUACGAGCACAUAGCAGGAAAAUAAAACUGUCCUAUAUCCUAAAAGCAGUUGCAACGUAGCACCAAUAACCAAAAAAAUGCAGUUUAUUGCGGUUGACCUGUUAUAGCUGCUGGAUCCCGUCCACGAUCUUACAAGUGACCAGACCAAACAAGUGACCAGACCAAACAGACAAUUCGAGUAACUAAGAAUAAGGACAGGAUCCCGUCCACAAUCUUACAAGUGAUCACAGACAAUUCGACUAAGGGACAAGGGACAGUAACAGGGUAAGGGAGAGGGGAAAGAGAAGAAGCUGUUUUGUAGUCGAUUUACCGUGGGCGUCGCCGGAGAUAGAGCUCGCUGCCGGCGCCGGAUCGCGUCGCAGGCGCGGGGGCGGGCGGCGGCUGCGGUGCGGUAGAGAUGGGUGACUGGGGGAGGUGAGCAGAGAUAGGGUUUUCUGUGCUCUUUGUAUAGUAUAUAUAUAGGGGGUUAAUGGGCCAAACGUUUAACGGCCCACAAACUUAAAUGGUCCAAGAGACGUUGGCCCAAAUAUCCGAUUUGUUGAAAAAAAUUAUAAAAUCGGAUUUAGGUGUUCUCUUAUAAAAUUGCAAAACUAGCAUCUUGUCGCUAUUCAACGGCCGAUAGGACACCUGUUGGCUAUCGAAAACUAGUUGGUCCUCCAAUCGGCUCGUCAUUGGCCGAGGCCAGUCUCUUUACUAUUUUGGUUUUAAGAAAUUUUUUUAUAUUAGCCCUUGUUUAGUUUCCAAAAAGUGCAAAAAAAAAUUCAAGAUUCUCCGUCACAUCAAAUCUUACGGCGCAUGCAUGGAGCAUUAAAUAUAAACAAAAAUAAAAUUAAUUGCACAGUUUACCCGUAAUUUGCGAGACGAAUCUUAUGAGCCUAGUUACUCUAUGAUUGACAAUAUUUAUCAAAUACAAACGAAAAUGCUACAGUAGUGUUUUCCAAAAAAAAAUUGGCAACUAAACCAGGCCUAAGCAAAAUAUAUAAAGACCCCCAAAAAAUUAUUAACAAAUAGUUCAGCUAAUCUUUUUAGGAUCUGUUCAUCGAUGGUUUAACAAAUCAAAUGUGAAUAAAUAGUACGCAUGCCAUUAGUGGAAACCCUACGUGAAAAAUAGUCUCUCUCACAUCAUAACCAUUAGUUGACGUAUUAUUUGAUAUAUUGACAACUAGCUUCUCGUCGCCUCCAGCAUGAACAAUCAUGAGCUCUAGAAUUUUUUUAGCCCAAUAAACUAAUAUUUUUAAAAAACAUCACAACUAAAUUUUUAGAAACUACUCGAUAUGGAUUUUGUGCUAGUCAUUUUUUUAGGUUUGAUUAGGUUUUAAAAAUAUUAAAAAUAUUUUUAUCUUUAAUAAUUUUAUUAUGAAAAAUAUAUUCAAUGACUUAUCUAAUGGUACUAAUUCUGCAUGACAAAUAAUAUUAUUUUCUUACAUAUAUUUUAUCAAAGUAAAAAAAUGACUUAUCGAAAGAUAGAGGAAGUAGCUCUUUUAGCCACGUCAAAAUUAAACUGCCAUCCGUCAAUCUUUUUUCAAUCAUCCAUUUUAUCGGCCGAGCAUCUCCCAUUUUUCUUAUAUAAAAUACAAAAAAAAAAUCCGGACUCACUUCCUCUACCUUUGUCGAUCGUGCAUCACACUAUAAAAAGAGCGAGUUUUUUUAGGGAGCUCUCCCUCUCUAAUAACCGUUCGAUCUAAACGUCGUGCUAUAUGUGCCUUCUGUCACCCGUGAUCUUACAUAAUAUAAGAUAUAAGAUUCCUCCUAAACCAAGAUUCCUCCUAGAUUCCAAAAACGGAAUAUAAUAGUCCAUAUUUGCAUAUUGGAGUCCAAUUCCAAUCCGCAUGCAUAGCUUUUCUGAUUUUUUAAGUCCAAUUCAUUAGCCGUUUCGACUUUUUUAAUUUCAAGAAAGAAUUAAGAGCAUAUUUUCUUUUUACCGUGCAUGCUUAAGAUCGGGCAUGCAUGAUCACUUGUUCAAGAAUAUACAUACAAGAUCUACCGGCAAUAGGAAGUCAAAUCAAAUUGAGAUAUAUUCACGCCAAUUUUAAAAAAUCAACCUAUUCAUGACAAUGUGGUAUGAGAUGACCCGUAUGAAUUCUCCUGCGUGAAUAGCGUUGAUCAUGAUUGGUCUUUGAGUCAAUCGGCAACGAAACAAACUUAAUUGGAGAGGCUAGAGCUGGGUUAAGGAGAAAUCUUGGUUUAAUAGGAGUCUUGUAUCUUUCAUGUAAGAUUGAUUUUCCUUUUUUAGGUAUACGAGGAAUCUUGGUUUAGAAAAAGUUUUACAUUUUACAUAUAAGAUCACAGAUGACAAAUGACUCAUAUAGCACGACAUAUAGAUCGAACAGAGAGCCUCCUUGAAAAAACUCACCGCCGCUGGCCGCGGAUUGUUCGAAAAAAGAAAAAAUAAUAUACAUCAAGAUGCAUACAUGCAACUAAUAAAUAAAUUAAUUGGAAAAAGAAAAAUAUGGAUGCGUGGAUGCAACUAUAAUAAAUAACAUCAAUAUGAAUGCAUGCUGGCGUAUGUAUUAGCAAUUAAAAAGAAAAAUAAAUUUGAACACACGUGAUUUUAUUUAUUAUGAUAAACAAGAAAGAAAAAACUAGCAAACGUUUUACAUUGUUUAUAGUACCAUAUUAUGAAUGAAUAAGUGAAAAUAAAAUCAAGGAACAUCUGAUAAUACAAACACGUGCGUGACGCACGUGCAUAUUUGCUAGUGUUUGAAAUCUCCCACUAUAGGUUUCUGCUCGGACUGGGUUCAGCUGAUUAUGAAGUGCGUUAUCUCUGUGUCGUAUCGGCUGAAAGUAAACGGCAACCGGUCUAACAGUUUUGUGCAAGAGCCUGGUCUACGGCAGGAGGAUCCACUCUCCUCCUAUCUAUUCCUACUCGGUGCAAAAGGCUUCAGUGGUUUUGUUGAAGGAUGCUGAACCAAGGGGUAUGAGAGUGUGUCCGAGAGAAUGCCAUGCAUUUGAAGUCUAUUCUACAGCUGUAUGAGAGUGUGUCCAGGAGAAGUCUGCUGUUCUCCAGUCAAAAAAUUGAUGAACCCUGAUUCGCUAUGUGCCCAAGUGCUGCGAGCAAGAUACUUCUCUGAUGGUGAUGUGCUACGAGCCAAACCGAAGAGGAUCAUGUCCUAUACUUGGCGCAGUAUCUUGGCCGGGAUCGAGGUGCUUAAGAAGGGACUGAUCUGGACAAUUGGUGAUGGAAUAACUACCGCUACAUGGACUGAUGAUUGGAUUCCAAGGGAUCAUUUGAGAAAACCAUACACGCCGAGGGCUGCUGACACGAGUGCAUGAACUUCUUGAUCCAACAAUGGACUGAUGAUGUGCUACUUUUUGGCAGGAAGACGAGCGAGGUCAUAUUGAGCAUCCCUGUUCAUGACAGGGAAUGGAUGACAUGAUUGCUUGGCACUACAACAAGACUGGCAUCUCCUCUGUAAAGUCGGCCUACAAAAUCCAAGUUGCCAACAGGGAAAAAAGCAAUGCAGAGCUAGGAGUGGUGGGUCAGUAAUGCUAAUGGCGAUCAGCUGUGGAAGAAGCUAUGACAAGUAGACUGUCCAAAGAAAAUGUUGCACUUUAUGUGGAGACUGUGUCAUAAUAGUUUGGCCUUGCGUGUCAACCUAAAACGCCAGGGUAUCAAAUUGAAUCCCUGCUGUGUUCUCUGUGGGCGGUGUCUGGAUGAGGAUGGAGCUCAUUUAUUUUUCAAGUGCAAAGAUGCAAAGAGAGUAUGGGAAGAUAUGCAGCUCCAUGGUGUGAGGGAUCGGCUUGCACAAGCCAUCACGGCAGUUCUGAAACUGAAGGAAGAAGUGCAGCGAAGGGUGAUUACUUUCAUGUACAUUUGGUGGUCGGAACAAUGCAGAGUUCACGAAGGGGAUGCACAAAGGAGUCCAGAACAGAUCGUCCAGAUAUACUGUAAUAGUCAGUUGCUACUCCGAAGAAUGGGCUUCUCUGAAGAAUAUUUAGGCAGCACCUAUCUCCACUAUAAUUGAAAAACUUUUUGGAACCAGACAAACUUACUCCCCCAACAAACUCAUCCCACCGCAGUCCACUAAUCCGGCCCACUAAUGUUCACCGUAACCAAUCCUCACGCCGCGGUCUCUCCAGGUCAAUCACGGUUCAUCUCAAAAUUGAAUCCACUCCGCCUGCCGUCCAUUUGAAACCACCACCUGCCGUUCAUUUGAAUCCACUCAUCUGCCGCCACAAUCUACGCCUCCCUUCCUCUUCCAGCGUACCAGCGAUCUACGUACAAGCAGAGCACAUACAAGCAGGACACCGCCAAGAGCACGUACUUGACGUCGGCGCCGCCACAUCUACUCUUGUCCUCCACAACGACACGGCGGACGGCAGGGAGACGGACUUUGGAUCGGCAACAGUCAGGUGAUUUUGUGAUUCAUAUACAAGAGCGUACAAACGGUAAAAAAAUAUAAUGCUUUUGCAGAUUAUUUUUGGCUUUUGAUCUUUAGUGUAGACUGUAGGUUACGUUUUACUACCUGCAGGCAAUUUUUUUAUCUUCCUCUAAAUAAUACAAGUAGUAACUAAUAGUACAAGUAUGCGCCGAUCAUUAUAGUGCUUAGGUGUUGCCCCUGCUGCAUGUCAUAAAUUAAACCAUCUAAUCGUCUUGCUUAGGUCCCUGACGGCAACAUGAAACCAUUAGUGAUCUCAGCAUGCAUGGUCCUGUAGUAUAUGCAUAUACAUCUGAAUGGUUGCAUGUACAUCUAAAUCUAUAUACAUAUACAUCUGAAUUAUUCCAUGGUUUCAGAUAUUUUACAAUAGUUGGAUCAUGAAUCAUUUAACAUGGAUUCUGAAUGGUUCCAUGGUUUCAGAUAUUUUAUAUCUGAAAUAUUAUUAAUAUUUUACAAGAGGAAAAAGAGUUGGAUCAAGAAUUAUUUAAUAUGGGUAUUCGGAUGCUCGCGCGCUGACAAAACAAAAAUACCACCUCAUGGAUCUUAAAUUUGUUGUAAGUUGUUAUAUAUAAAUCAUUAUAAAAUAGUAUAAUUCAUUAAAAAUUGCUAAUUUCUACAAAUUCAACAGGAAAUAAUUAGGUUUGAAUGAGAUCCACGAUGUUGUGGACCGGUUAACAAAGUAUAUUAAGAAAAACUGAAAAAAGUACUUGAGUGUUGGCCUGACAUACAAUAUCACAUAAAUGACUGUAGCAAUGUAAGUUAAGUUUUAUUUACUAUAUACUUUGUUUAAUUAAUUUUUUGCACUUACCAAUCAAAUAUUCUAUUUAUGUGUCUUAGAUUCUACUACCGUAUUAUCGAGACGGACUGUAUAUUUUAUUCAUAAUAGACAUGUAAAACAAAAUUGUGCGUAUUAUGGAUCCACUACAAAGACAAACUGCUUUGGCUGGUUUUAGUCAAGAUAUGGUAUAUACAACUACAUUCCAAGCUAUUGCUACAAUGUUCACGUUCGCCAUGAAACUAUCAAAAUCAAAGAGGAACCACUGUAUAUCUUCAUGGCGGCGAGAAUACCCUGCAUGCGUGACAAAGGUUACAUCAAACCACAAAGACUGGUAUUACUUUUGGUUCAACUUUGUUUUAGUUGUAACAAAUAUUUCAGUUUUGUAUGCCAAAUAAACAAUUGAUCUUGUACAGGAACUGGGAGGAUUUCUUGUAUACAAUUUCACGAAGUUGUGGGAUGAUGUAAAAUUGUCACCGAUCAAUAAUGUAAGCAUAUGCAGUCUCCAACUAUAUUUGCAUCAAUACACGAUUAAAUAUUAACAUAAUAAUAUCUGUCAUUCACAGCUGUCAAGAUCACUAAGGACGGAGUUCUUGGCUGACAUUUUGGCGAGUCAUGCAAACAAGUGCUACGACAACAUCCCUGAAGAUAUCCAAUAUUUGAUUAAAAAGUUAGGAAAAUGUAAAGAUAUCUUUAUGUACUGAUGGUUCAUAAAAUGUAUAUAGACUCAAAAACAAUUGUUCAAAAUUAAAAUUCUAAAAAAAUUACUAUGAUUUAUAUAGCAUUUCCUAGCCUUUUCUCCGUUCUGACAAACAUGUAGGGUUAGUCGCGUGCCACCGCUUCUCCACGAGUCGGAACGGAGACACUAGGUCUUGUUUACUUCUAUUUUUUUUUAAAUAGGAAUAGUAACAUUUUCGUUUGUAUUUGACAAAUAUUGUCCAAUUAUGUACUAACUAGGCUCAAAAGAUUCGUCUCAUCAAUUUCGACCAAACUGUAUAAUUAGUUUUUAUUUUUUAUCUAUAUUUAAUACUUCAUGCAUACGUACUAAACAAGGCCCUGAUCCCCUUCUCUCCUUGCACCUAUAACAUGCUAGGGGCAUGUUAGUCUUUUUUUACGAGUGGCCCCAUUCGACGGUUCACGGUCUGUUUAGAUUCAAAUCUUUACAUCUUAAAUAGGUGUUUAAAUCCUUCUUAAAUUUUUUUUAUCUGCAACACAAGACACGAGUCCCUAAGCAAGUUUACACAGUUUUAGGGCUCUAAGAGCAUCUCCAAGAGAUUAGCCAAAUCAUUUUCUAAAGGUAAAUUUGGCUAUUGUUGAAGGAAAAACUUCUCCAACAGAUUUUGUAAAUGACGGUUCAAAUUUAGCAGCUCUCCAUUCCACCUUAUUCGCUCUCUACUUUUAGAUAGCCUACCUCACUAGUCAUUCUUUUAUACAGUCUGUUGGAGUACUCUAAUAUCUUUUUAUCAAAUCUAUUUUAGAGAGCAAUUAAAUCAGUAAAUUUGCCUAGUCUUUUUGGCUAAUCUCUUGGAGAUGCUCUAAGGUCCCAAAUUCCAAAUCUUUACAACCCAAGUUUUACAAGCCCAUGUUUAGAUCUAUUCUUCCAAAAAAUACUCAUUUCUCUAAAAGUUUUGGCUGUAUCUAAACAGGGCCUCGAUGUUAUGGUAGUGUCAUUUUGGGAACAGAAAUUUUAAGGAAGGGUAAAAGAAAGAUUUGAAGUUUCGAUGUCAAAUGGGGAACAACAUUUUUUUAAUGUCAAAUAAGGAUUUUUCUCAUUUAUAGAACUGAGUUACGAUUUUAUAAACAAAUUCAUGCAUGCAUUAAACCCGUCACCUGAGAUAAACCAAAGGAGCACAUACAAAACUAGACAAAACGACCCAAUAAAAAUAGGAAUGAUUCCUAACUCAUGUUCUUAACAAGUAAUUACCCUAUAUCCAAAACUAGACAAGGAAAAAUACGACUGUCCAAGAAAUUGCUUAACUGAUAUCCUAGCUGAUAGCUACAACAUCCAACCCAAAAAUGAGGGUAAUUUUUUGUUGCUCAUUGUCAAGCCAACGUCCAGGCCUAAACUUCACACUCCAACAGAGCCUAGUGUAAUAGCCCAAAAAUUUCUAACCUACCAUGAAUCACACAUGUGCAACACAUUUAGCAUACAUUUGAAUGUUUUUAAUUUAAUUUGAAAAUAAUCCUAAAUUUGAGCAUGCUUCAUUAAGGAACUUUGAGUUUCACUUAAACAUGCAUGCUAAGAAAUUACAUGACAAACUACUAUUUUUCAAACUAUAAAAAUAGAUAUUUUUUCUUGAUUUUUGCGAAAACAUUUUAGGGCUAAAUAGCUUAACCAAAAUCUUAAACAUAAGUAUAUAACAUUAAGCAAAAUUACAAAGGUUAUUAUGAUGCAAGAUAAAAGUAAAAUGGGCCAUGCAUGUUUUUUGGCAUCUACCUAAAAAGUUAUAAGAUUUUACGAGAUUUCUCUGUACAACCGAAUCAUAAAUAUACGCGGCUCAUCAUGGACACAUCCCAAAAAAUUUGGCCAUUUAAACCUAUCUUAAUUCUAUGCACCCUACAGCCGAAUCAUAAAUAUACGGGACUCAUCAUGGACACGUCAAUAGAAAUAUCAAAAGAGCUGCAAAAAUGACUAUACACUUCACAUGGAAAAGGCAAGGAAACAACCAACAAAAGGGUGAAUUUAACUGACAGAUCAGGCAAAGCGUUAUUAAGACAAUAGAAAUGAGCAACACAGGGAAUACAAGUAUGUAACCACUAACUAAACCACACAGAUACCAACUCCGUUUCAUCUGCUACAUCACACCAGAUAUCAAAAUGGAGUCUCAGGCUCUCAACACAGCAGCAUACACUACAUGACCAAUAUAGUUCAGAGACAGGUACAUUAACUAAAACGAGAGAAAAUAUUCAAGUCGUUCCCAAUACAAUAGACAAAUUGACGAUUAAACCAGCAAUAGUAACAGUAGAACAAACAACCAAAAAUUUAGAGCUUGUCCUCAAACUCAGAGAGAGGGGUCAUCUGUUCCUUGAGACCCUUCCUCUUGCGGAUAUCCAGCACCAGCUGAGCAGCCUGGGAGCCAGCCUCCAAAGGAUCAGAGCCCAUCAUGUCCCAAUGGUCAAAGACACACUGGGGGAACGCCUGACCAGAG